GGCUAUUGAUGUUACUCAAUGAAAUGUCUGAGAGGGAGAGAGAGGAAGAUGGAGAGGUAUGAGAGAGAAGAUGUCCAAUCAGCGUGCCAUGUCAGCACUAUUUGCCAAUGUGGAGGGGUAUGAUCGUAUGGUGAACGACUUAACAAGUUUAUGGACCCAAAAAUGCACUUUUUCAGAGAUUGUGGACCUAAGUGACACCGCCUUGUUGACGGACCUCCGAUGCAUUUUACUCCAAUUAUAUAUGCUUGGAGGAGUGUUCGAAGAGAGUUGAAUUAAUAAAGGUAGGUAUUAUUUGGGGAGUAGGCAACAAACAACUUCAAAAUGUGCGCACGAUCCCUCCUGAUGUGCAACUAGAACACCAUUUUUGACUCAGGUUGGGGGCUCCUCACAUUGUUGAAUGAGAUGAUUGAUCCACACGGAUAGGGGUAGAGCUAGAUUGAAAUCAUAAUGACUUGUUAGAAUGGGGAUUAAGCUUAAUUUUCACUAAAAUUUGUGGUCAAUUUUUGUGGCCCCAUUCAACCCCCUCUUGUGUUGCGCCUGUGGACGGGUACAUGAAUGUGGUAGGAAAAUAUUCGAUGGAAACCGGUGGAGACGCAAAAAAAUCCCUUAAAAGUAUGCUUAGAAGUAUUAAAAAAAUUAAACAAUCCACAUCCACAGUGCAGAAAGAUUCUCUUCUAGUACAUGCUUGACAUUUGUUAUUCUCGUAUGAUUUUUUACUAAAUGAUUUUGCACGCCAACAUUAAGGAAAAGGUAUACCUAAUUUUUUUAGAUCAAUUUAGGAGGAGCUAGACGAUUUUUCAUUAAGAAAAGAAAUAUGCACGAUUUUUCAUUAAGAAAAGAAAUAUGCACCUAAAUCCGAGCUACAGGAG
rnacentral:lncRNA from 1 species